AUUGAACGCUGGCGGCAGGCCUAACACAUGCAAGUCGAACGAGUGGCGGACGGGUGAGUAAUGUCUGGGAAACUGCCCGAUGGAGGGGGAUAACUACUGGAAACGGUAGCUAAUACCGCAUACCAUCGGAUGUGCCCAGAUGGGAUUAGCUAGUAGGUGGGGUAACGGAUCACCUAGGCGACGAUCCCUAGUGGGUCUGAGAGGAUGACCAGCCACACUGUAACUGAGACACGGUCCAGACUCCUACAGGAGGCAUCAGUGGGGAAUAUUGCACAAUGGGCGCAAGCCUGAUGCAGCCAUGCCGCGUGUAUGACGAAGGCCUUCGGGUUGUAAAGUACUUUCAGCGAGGAGGCGUUACUCGCAGAAGAAGCACCGGCUAACUCCGUGCCAGCAGCCGCGGUAAUAC
rnacentral:rRNA from 1 species